UACAGAGGUCCCGAGCGUUGUUCGGAUUUAUUGGGCGCAAAGGGCGCGUAGGCGGCGGGGUAAGUUGGGUGUGAAAUCCCGGGGCUUAACCUCGGAAUGGCAUUCAAUACUGCUUCGCUCGAGUACUGGAGAGGAGGCUGGAAUUUACGGUGUAGCAGUGAAAUGCGUAGAUAUCGUGAGGAAGGCCGGUGGCGAAAGCGAGCCUCUGGACAGUUACUGACGCUGAUGCACGAAGGCCAGGGGAGCAAACGGG
rnacentral:rRNA from 1 species